rnacentral:rRNA from 1 species
CAGUCGCCGCGGGAAUACGGAGGGUGCAAGCGUUAAUCGGAAUUACUGGGCGUAAAGCGCACGCAGGCGGUUUGUUAAGUCAGGUGUGAAAUCCCCGAGCUUAACUUGGGAACUGCAUUUGAAACUGGCAAGCUAGAGUCUUGUAGAGGGGGGUAGAAUUCCAGGUGUAGCGGUGAAAUGCGUAUAGAUCUGGAGGAAUACCGGUGGCGAAGGCGGCCCCCUGGACAAAGACUGACGCUCAGGUGCGAAAGCGUGGGGAGCAAACAGGAUUAGAUACCCCAGUAGUCCCUGUCUCUUAUAC